rnacentral:tRNA from 1 species
UCCUGGCUGGCUUAGUCGGUAGAGCAUGCGACUCUUGAUCUCAAGGCUGUGAGUUCGGGCCCCAUGUUGGGUG